CACACUGAGCUGAGCCCCUGCUCUGCUUUCCUGCUGUGUGGCCAUGUGACUUUACUCUCAGUUCCAUGAGAGGACCAGACUGAAAACCCCUGAGGGAAACCCAACAGAUGGUCAGAUGUCCAGAGGCACAAACAUGCCUGCUUCCAUAUUGCCAAGUUAACAGCAGCUGUCCAGCCGCCCGACUCCAGGGCAUGGAUGCUGGAGCCUCAGCCCCCUCCAUGUCCUUCCCGCCAAGGCUUAGCCUCAUCCAACGUGAUUCCUUCACGGACAAUUGGAAGCUGGGUUUUUCGGAAAUCUCGUAUUUACUUGAAAGAGGAUCACUCUUAUUUAUUGCCACCAGUUAAAGAUUAUGGCAACACGUCUGCUAACAAUUUGCUUUGUGUAAUUUCGUUCCUAUGCUAAUGAACAACAGCUGGGACACUUCCUGCACCAAGUUCCUCUGCGGUUACAGCGAAGCCAUCACGGGGGCUGCACCAAGCGCCCAGCCUAAGAGCGCACACACCGCCCUGCGACGCUGUGCUGGGCAGCUAGCCGCACAUUUCCCCAAGCUGCGCCCCUGACCAUGUGCGACACUUCCUACCUGGAGACCCGGGGUUUCUUGGGACACUUAGCAGGAGGCAGAGAAGGUAGAGGUCAAGAAAGACACCAUAUCCCAGGCCAGCGGCCAGCAGGACCGGGACGCAGAAAGAGUGGGAGGACCGGAAGAUGACAGACGUACAUCAGAGUGGAGAACUGGCUUGAUGAUGGUUGAAUCGUGAUUCUAGAUACCGUGGGGACAGCAGCCUCUUUCUGCCUGAACAGAUCCACAAGCUGCUCAGACUGGCGCAGUCAUUGUCUUGACCACAUGGCCUGCGCCCUGUGGCUCAGUGCUUGGCGCUGAGGCAGAAGAGCAAGCCCAGCUCCUACCAGCUCCCACGCUGGACACACCCACAGCGUGCUUCUUCAAACAGCUCCCUGGGAAAUGACUCCCACCGCGUCUUUUCUCAGCAGCCAGGUACUAUCAAAGGCUACUUUCAUCAGAAACGGAGCAGCCUCGAAUCUCGUGAUGACUCUACCUCCCCACUCAGGAUUGCCUUCCCUGCGAUCGUGCGAGGUGGCUCUGCUUGGCUUCUUCCCAUUACAGGGAGUUCCCUCCCCUAGGAGCUGGCUUAUCGCUCUGUUGGACAGUUCUGGUUGUAAUAAAAAAAAAUUACUUCUCAGGGAGACACAGAUGUCUGUGAAUCAGACACGAACAUCUGAGGUGAAGCCAACUCUGAAAUCUUUGUCUUUUUAACAGAGUUUAUUCAUGCAGUGGCCACCUCUAUAGCACAGAAAUUGAUCUGGAUGCAGAACUCUCAGUUACUUCUUCAACAACAUGUCUGCCUGCAUGUCAUCAUGCUCCCCGCCAUGACAGCAAUGGACUAAACCUCUGAAACUGUGCUGAGAUUAUAGGCAUGUGUCACCUUGUCCGUCUACAGCUUUACUUCGGUAGCACCUUUUCCUUUUUCUUUCUCAACUCACGCUGCCUCUUCGAAAUGGGAGCAGGGAUUCUUCCGGCUGAUUCCUUCUCCCUAGGGCAGACCUCUCUGGGAGAGGCAGGUGCCUGCGGCCUUCCUACAAACGGCUGUUUCUUCUUGCUCUGAUGGAGAGCGCCCAGUACCCAGGAGAUGAUUUGAACAAGAAGAGCCGUGGUUUGCUUGUCAAGACUAUUUUAAAGGGCGGCAUUAUUUGGAUAGGAAAUAGUCGGUGUAUACUAUGGGAAGUAGUCUCAUGGAGGAUCCCGUGAGUGUUUUCAAAUGCAUGGAUAUCAGCCUUACACCUGGAACCCAGAACCCCAGAGCCGAGAGGAGAAGCAUUGUGCAUCACCUGCCCAGCUUACCUGGGGGUAGAAUCUUCUCCCAGUCUUCUGGCAGUGGUUCUCUGCAGACAGCAGAAUAUAGAACCAAACAAAAACAAGCUCUCCAGCUGGCCACUGCCCACCCCCACCUCCUCUAGCAUCGACUGGCGACUGGCGACGAGCUUAUGCAGGUGAACCUCAAAGUCUUUCUGGCCAGUCGUUUCAGUGAAGGCUGAUGCCAAACCACCACCGCUGUGGGGUUCUGGCGGUGGGCCCCACCUCCUUCUCUUUCCUGAGCUCAUUUUGGCCUCUUUGCCAGGCUCACCUCAUUCAGACACUUCCUGAUGUUUUUCUCUCUUGAGUCUUCAACUCUUCAAAACAUCCUUGGGCUGGAGAGAUGUUUAAGAACACUAGCUGCUCUUCCAGAGUCCCCACAUGUCAGCUCACAACUCCAGUUCCAGGGAAUGCAAUACCCCCUGCUGGCCUCCAUGGGCACCAGACAUGCACAUGGUACACAGACAUUCAUGCAGACACAACACUCAUACAUAUACAACAAAUUUUCUCUCAAAAAAGGAGACAUGAAACCAGGUGGUGGCGCACACUUUUAAUCCCAGCACUCGGGAGGCAGAGCCAGGUGGAUCUCUGUGAGUUCGAGGCCAGGCCUGGUCUACAGAGCA